UGGGGAAUAUUGCACAAUGGGGGAAACCCUGAUGCAGCGACGCCGCGUGAGCGAAGAAGGUUUUCGAAUCGUAAAGCUCUGUCCUAUGAGAAGAUAAUGACGGUAUCAUAGGAGGAAGCCCCGGCUAAAUACGUGCCAGCAGCCGCGGUAAUACGUAUGGGGCGAGCGUUGUCCGGAAUUAUUGGGCGUAAAGGGUACGUAGGCGGUCUAUUAAGUCAGGUGUGAAAGCGUGAGGCUUAACCUCAUUAAGCACUUGAAACUGAUAGACUUGAGUGAAGGAGAGGAAAGUGGAAUUCCUAGUGUAGCGGUGAAAUGCGUAGAUAUUAGGAGGAAUACCGGUGGCGAAGGCGACUUUCUGGACUUUUACUGACGCUGAGGUGCGAAAGCGUGGGGAGCAAACAGG
rnacentral:rRNA from 1 species